rnacentral:rRNA from 1 species
AACGAACGCUGGCGGCAGGCCUAAUACAUGCAAGUCGAACGCACCGCAAGGUGAGUGGCAGACGGGUGAGUAACGCGUGGGAAUCUUCCUUGCAGCACGGAAUAACUCCGGGAAACCGGUGCUAAUACCGUAUACGCCCUUUGGGGGAAAGAUUUAUCGCUGCAAGAUGAGCCCGCGUCGGAUUAGCUAGUUGGUGGGGUAAUGGCCUACCAAGGCGACGAUCCGUAGCUGGUCUGAGAGGAUGAUCAGCCACACUGGGACUGAGACACGGCCCAGACUCCUACGGGAGGCAGCAGUAGGGAAUAUUGGACAAUGGGCGAAAGCCUGAUCCAGCCAUGCCGCGUGAGUGAAGAAGGCCUUAGGGUUGUAAAGCUCUUUUGGCGGGGACGAUAAUGACGGUACCCGCAGAAUAAGCUCCGGCUAACUUCGUGCCAGCAGCCGCCGUAA